rnacentral:lncRNA from 1 species
CAACACUGCAGGUCGAACCUUGAACAUAUUUAGAAAGAAGCAAUGUGUUACUUUUAGAGCAUUUCUCGAUAUUCUUCCAGAAAAACUGGUUAAUUUGUUUAAAUGUGUAUAUGCACAAGACAGACUGUGAUGAUAUGUCUGAUUUUUGAAACACCCCAAUUAAAACUGCAUCAUCAUCGUCUCCAGUGCUUCCAAACUUCUCAGCAAGUUUACCAUCAAGACGUAAAACCUUUGCUGCUACAAGUUGCUCAUAAUUUGUACCAUCCUUGCCAACACAUCGUAAUGGCAUCUCCAUGUAAGUUUUAAUUUCCACACUGCCGCUAUUAUAGUUCUCACACAGUCUUGCUACAUUAGUUCCAUCAUCCAUAUUAUGACUAAAAACAUAUCUAAACUUUCCUACAAUCACUGCAAGAAUGUAAUAAAUCUUAAGU